UCUGAAAUGGAGGAGGCUGGCAGCCCUCUUCCAUCCUCUGAAUCAGUGGCACACGGAGAGGAGGGUGAGGACGAUGGCACCCUGCCGUGCACAGAGGACGUCAUCUGUAAGACGGAGCAGAUCACCAAGAACAUUCAGGAGCUGCUGAGAGCCGCCCAGGAGACCAAGCAUGAAAGCUUCCUGCCUUGUUCAGAAAAGAUCUGCGUGGCUGUGAAAGAGAUGGCCGCCCUGUUUCCCAAGAGGCCGUCCUCGGACACGGUUCGAGGCUCUCUGUAUCUCCUCACGUCCAGCGCCAGCCGACUGCACGGAGAGUGCCAGAAGGCCGCAGAGCACAACCCCUGCCCGUCGGACAUCCAGCUGGUCACUCAGCAGGUCAUCCAGUGCGCCUAUGACAUUGCCAAAGCUGCCAAGCAACUUGUCACCGUGACAACCAAAGAAAACAAUAACUAACUAAAAAUCCAAAGACAUUCCUGAUGCACCCAAAAUAGUUGAUUUAGAUACCGCUAAUUUUUGUUUAAUCAGUGUUAACACAAUUUUUUCUAAUUAGUCGGCAAUUAUUUACGUACAUUCCUUAAAAAAAAACAAGAUGCCCCAUGUAACAGACCAAUCUAAAGAUUAUUUUGAUGUUUUUGUAUCAUGGUAAUACAGAGUAAACAAACAAAUCUGUUACUCCUCCUAACCUCACAAAGAGAUAACAGUUUACUCCACACAAAAUCCAAAAGUGCAAUGUUGUGUGUAUAUAAACAAAGAACAACAAGCCUUCUACAUUGUACUUUCCACAUAGAGGUCAUCAUAUAGAUACACCUUUUAUCUACACCAUUGUCAUCUGUUUAUUUUCCUUUUUUUAUUUGAAAUGUUUUUAAGAUGCAAUGACAGUAUUUUAGUCUUGAACCAUUGUGAUGCCACUUGCUUAGAGUUCAAAUGUUUGUUUGGUGAUUAUGAAAGUAGCUUCAGUGCAUAGAGCACCAUGUAAGGCCAGCAGUACAAAUGGUGUGCAAACCUUCAUUCCAUCCAGCAGCUCCAGCAGGGGAUUCAGCAAAGUGACAGUAGUUCUUGGAGUUAUAAUGUUACAGCCAUACUUCUGAUGUUGUGUGUGUGUGUGUGUGUGUGUGAGAGAGAGAGAGAGAGAAGAGAGAGUGAGUGAGUGUGUGUGUGUGUGUGUGUGUGUGUGGGCGCAGUUGUCACAGAGAUGGCCUCGAUGGCCCCUGUGAAACCCAUUUUGAAUCAAUUUUAAUAGCAUUAUGCAAAUAUAUAAGAUGUAUGUAUCUAUGUAAUUCUUUAUCAAAAUAACCCAAAUGCUAUUCUAUUUAUGAACUGUGUGUCAUACCUCUAAGAAAAUAUUAAUGUUUAUUUUCAUAAGAUUUGUUUAACAUGAUGCUCCUCGCAGACUAACUUUUGUUCUGAGGUUUGGGACGUCUCAGCUGGCAGUGAGUUAUGGGCAACCUGUGAUCUCUGUCUAUUUGGUGUGGUGCUCUAACUCCAGUGUGUUCAAUGCUACCUGUGGUCACAUGCGUACAGCUAUGGUUUACAAUCACUGAAAUUAAUGUGCCCUUAAAGUUAGAGUAGAACUUGGGUCUUAUGUUUCACUUGUUGUUGUGAGCCAGAUCAGUCUCAACCAGGGGUGUAAAGCUAACCAGAAAACACUGCACACGCCAACAACGACAAUUAAAUAUUACUCAAGUAGCUGUAGAAAAGCUUUCUCAAUAGGUUGCCUGGAUGGAGAACAGGUUUAAGACUCAAAAAGAGGAUUAUUAAAAUGAUGAUUACACCAUUAAAGUAUUCAUUUUAUUUUUAAAGUAAUUUUUUGUUUUGGACCAAAACCGUUGGUUUGCUUACAAGCUUGUUUUGUAACUGCAUUGCACAGUCUACUCUAGGCAGUAUAAUUUUUUUUUUUUUUAAUCACUUAAUUAAAAAAAUUAUGUUUGCAUCUUUUUUUCAGGAUGUUUUGACCAUGCAAAAGUAUUGUUAUUUUCUAACAAUUAAUUAUACAUGUGGACAGAUGUUCUUAAUGCAAAACGAUGUAACAUUCCAGUAACUCAGUCCAUUAUGCUUCAACGUCUAUUUAAAGUUAUCCAACUGUAGCCACUAUAAACUAGUGGUCAUACCAGACCAAGUUAUCUUUGGAAAAACCCCUGAGUGUAAUGAACUGCUGAAGUUUGCAUUUUAUUCCUUAAUAAUCCAGCUUUCGUUUGUAAAAGAAGAACGUCUUAUUUCCUCUUUAAAGAUUUGCAGUCUUGAAAGUUCCUGCAAGUCAUUUUAAUGAUAAACUUCCUGAAAUAAUGACGUACUAUAUCAAAAAUACCUUCUUUGAGAUACCAAGUAAUUAUUUUGAGGAUGUCAAUCAUCAUAAUGACUUGCAAGAUAUAUUUUUUUUAAAUAAAAAAAUAUUGAAGUUCAUUGGUGCCUGCUCUCACUGGCAGCAAUGGGCUUCCAUAUAUUGUGUAUUUGUUCCAACCAAUUAUUAAUCCAAAGGAUUACUAAAUAAGAAAAAUCCUUCUCUAGGCUAUAUAAAAAAAAAACACAUUUUAAGAUUACAAAAUAUAUAUUUUAAAGUACAUUUGUCAAAAGCUAAAAUACAAAUGUUUUCAGUUACUUUCCACCCCUGGUUUCAACCCUGACAUUUGAUAUCCUGUAACUUCUAGCCUGCCACUGCCUCUGUGGUUGAAAACUAUUCCUGCCUUAGGUUUAAUAAAGUAUAAUUCAUACUUCAAAUA